rfam:Oryza rufipogon genomic scaffold, chr10
AAAAAGGCAAACCCUAAGUUUCCGUGUCCAAUUUUAACUGUCCGUCUUAUAUGAAAUUUUUUUAUAAUUCGUAUUUUUAUUGUUGUUAGAUGAUAAAACAUGAUUAAUAUUUUAUGCGUGACUUAUCUUUUUAAUUUUUUUCAUAAUUUUUUUAAAUAAGACGGACGGUUAAAUGUUAGACACGAAAACCAACGUUUGUCUUUUUU